rnacentral:Y_RNA from 1 species
GGCUGGUCAUGGUAGUGGGUUAUCAGAACUUACUAACAUUAGUGUCACUAAAGUUGGUAUACCACCCCCCACUGCUAAAUUUGACUGUCUUAA